rnacentral:pre_miRNA from 1 species
AGUGGGUUUGCUGAGUCAUAUGGUAAAUGUAUGUUUAACUUUAUAAAAAAUUGCCAAACUGUUUUCCAAAGUGGGUGUAUAUUUUCAAUUCUCAAGAGCAAU